rnacentral:tRNA from 2 species
GCCCUCGUAGUUCAAUGGAUAGAACAAUUCCGUCCUAAGGAAAAAAUAGGAGUUCGAUUCUUCUCGAGGGCACCA